CUGCACACGGUAAAAUCGCAACAUCUCACAUUCUCACUCUCUCAUCUUACCCGUCACUGAAAAGCCUCAAUUUUUCUUUUACGCGGAAGCAGUUUAUGCGAGAAGGCAUGCAAAAGGCAUUAAGCUCUCUGCGAGAAGGCACGAGUAGAGGGAUUCAGGCACCUCUGGGCUUUGGCUCUCUUUUGCGCGCGGGUAGUCAAGGGAACCGCUAGGGAUCAUAUAGAGUGCUCUCUUUAUCUCUCGUCACCAAAGGUUUUUUGCUGGUUUUUAUGAGUACAGGGCUGGCAGUGUGGCUUCGGGUUUGAGUAUGGCUCUAGGUGUGUGCUGCUUCGUUCAUUAUCAUCAUGUCUAUAGUAGACUUUUCUCCACUUCAGAUUGAAGAUUUACAUGGUAGUGAGGCUUGUGGUUGAUGGCUAUGGUGAUAUAGAAGUUGUGCUAACAAGGAUCCAUGCGUUGGCUUUGAUUUUCUCUAGGUUUAGUUUGUGUUUUUGAAGGCUUCUAAUGUCUUUAUAUGUGGUUGUCUAGGUUUUUUUUGUUGACUUGCUUGGGAAGGAGUACUCUUUUUCCUUCAUGUGGUGCUGGGUUUGUUGUUCCCUUCUUCAUGAGAGAGUUGUUCUCAUGGAGUUCUUUCUAUUAAUAAUAUUUUUUAUUACAA